GACAUAGGUUGCGAACGUUAUCCGGAAUUAUUGGGCGUAAAGGAUGCGUAGAUGGUUUGAUAAGUUAUCAGUGGCAAAUCGGGGCUCAACCUCGUGGAAGCUGGUAAUACUGUCAUACUUGAGUGCAGGAGAAGUUAACGGAACUCUAUAUGGAGCGGUAAAAUGUGACGAUAUAUAGAAGAACACCAAUAAGGCGAAGGCAGUUAACUAUUCUGUUACUGACAUUGAGGCAUGAAAGCGUGGGGAGCAAAACGG
rnacentral:rRNA from 2 species